CCUACGGGGUGCAGCAGUGGGGAAUAUUGGACAAUGGGCGAAAGCCUGAUCCAGCCAUGCCGCGUGUGUGAAGAAGGCCUUCGGGUUGUAAAGCACUUUCAGUGGGGAAGAAAGCCUUGGGGCUAAUACCCUCGAGGAAGGACAUCACCCACAGAAGAAGCACCGGCUAACUCCGUGCCAGCAGCCGCGGUAAUACGGAGGGUGCGAGCGUUAAUCGGAAUUACUGGGCGUAAAGCGCGCGUAGGCGGUCUGAUAAGCCGGUUGUGAAAGCCCCGGGCUCAACCUGGGAACGGCAUCCGGAACUGUCAGGCUAGAGUGCAGGAGAGGAAGGUAGAAUUCCCGGUGUAGCGGUGAAAUGCGUAGAGAUCGGGAGGAAUAACAGUGGCGAAGGCGGCCUUCUGGACUGACACUGACGCUGAGGUGCGAAAGCGUGGGUAGCAAACAGGAUUAGAUACCCCAGUAGUC
rnacentral:rRNA from 1 species